AUAAAAAAAGGAACUUAAGAAACAUGUAUUGUAGAAACCCUAACAUACUCACUGGAGUUCCCCAACACCCACAUGCCACCUGAGUGUAAACCACCACCACACUACCGGAGACGCUCCGACCACCACCACAUCGCCGGAGACGCUCCGACCACCACCUUCAACCCCUGCACGUCACCCGAGAAGACCACCAUCUGCAACCUCUUCACGCCAACCGAGACAACCACCAUUUGCAAACCCUACACGCCAUCGAAGACGACCACCUCCAGCAACCCCUUCACGCACUCGUUCAUUCUUCACUGCCUCUGUACCCGCCACCACAGCUCAUCGAGCCAUAUUAAAGUCAUCCCUCUGAAACGCCAAGUUAAAGUGAUUAAUGAUAAAGAGGUUGAAAAAGCACUUGAUGAGGGCUAUAUUUGUGAGAAAUUUUGCGAGAUGUCUGUUAUUGAUGCCGAUUACCUAAGAGGAUAUAACAGAUGCAACAUUUGCAAUGCAAAGAAACUAGCUCAAAGAUCUGAUGAUGAGACUUACAAAGGAAUACACACUUGUCUCAGGCUUUCAGUAACCACUGAUUCCAUAAAUGAGAGUGAAUCCGCAUUAAGUAUCCUAAAAAACAGUGAUUACUCAACUACAGUCACUGAUAAUCCUUCUGGACUAAACUGUACAAAGAAUGGCAGUGCUAGCAUCAAAAAGUGGAAGAGAGAAAUGGAGGACAUUCAGUCUCCAUUUUUAAAACUUCAGUUAGCUUCAUCUUAUGAACCAGAUAUGAUAAUAUCAGAAGUAGCGGAAAAUGGCAGUUGGAACCUCUCAUCAUCAAAGGUAUGCUGCAAAAGAUGUCCUUUGUGUUUUCACGGUUUCACAAUUCAGUAACACAUAGAACGGAAACUCCUAUUUUUACACUUAACUGAAUGUGACAGUACUCGCACAGAAAAGAUGUCCUUUAUGCUCACUGACAGGGGUGUUUACGGUCCGGUGUGGCCAAUUUUAAUGAAAAUUUUGGGCCGAACCACUAACUACGGUUUUGGAAAGAAAAAAAAACUGAACGAGUCAGUUUUUACAGUUUGACAUUUCGGUUUUGACGGUUUUAGACCAAAAAAAUUUAUAAAGCAUAAUUUUCCUAUAUUAAAAAAAUAUAAGGAUGAAAAGGGAGGGUGGAAUGGUGACCAGACGGGGGUGUGGAAACUGACUAGUGACAGGCUGAUGGCAAACGACCAUGAAAAAUUAAACCGCAAACGUGUCUAAUGUAUAGCUGUCUGAUUUUAGAUAACAAAAGAUAAUAUAUUUAUUGAUGGAUAUCAAAAUUUGAUAUACAUGAUUCGACUGGACUAAAUGUCUCAUGUUCAGUUCUCUCAUAUAUUUGUUUUCACCAAAUAUAAAAGAACAUAUGCAUAAAUAUAUAUACGGAGGAAAAUUUCCGAUGACCACAACACCACAAUUGAUUUCUUGCCAUUUUCCAGCUCAAAACGCAGGAACCUCUACUAUCAUCUUAGAAAGUAUUUGGUGUAAAUGCGCCGUUUCUACCACUUCAAAGACCUAACUGCUUAACUUAACUUGAGUUCAGGUUAUCCUACUAAGUUUGGAAAGUAUUUGACUAAGUAUCUGAUGAAGAAGCGGAUGAUGACACGGAUAUGACGUACAAUUAUAUGUUAGGUAGUUUUAUGAUGUGUUUGUGAAUUGGUGACUUAAAACGAACCCGGAUUGUGACGUUUGUGACGUUUAUGCUUAUAUUUUUUUGAAAGGCAACCAUUUAUGCUUA